CCCAAUUCUACCACUUGGAACUGUUAAAUCUAGCAGAGAACUUGCUUCCCAGUGCAAUUUCUGAACAUGUUUUGCUCUGAGGACUUAAAAUUCUUCUCACGUGACUUUUUUCAAAACCACACUGUGAUCAAGUGCCUGGAUGCAAGCAAAUUGGUCACCAAGAUAAGGACCUCCUGGGUCUCACACAGUGGGAGGGAACUCAUGAAGGGAUUAAAGAAAGAGCGUAAGCCAACAUCAAGUAAGGGCCUUUCUCCAUGAAGGUUCAAGCCCAAAAUGGGCUUGGGUUCCUCUAAGAAAAGUUGCUGUAUCCAUUAAAGCCAGCUGUAGCUUUGGGAGGGAAAGGAUCCAGAGACAUCAGCAGGGGCUGGAACUGCCAGUGGAGGUUCUGGUGAGGAGGCAGGUGGUGCAGAAGAGGAGGGGACCACAUGCCAAGAAAGUAUGUACAAAGAAAAACAUCAGUGAGCAUGAGGAACGUGCACAGCAGGAAGAGGAUAGAGAAGAACAGGAAUGUAAAUAGCACUGCAGAAUGUUUGGAACUUUUUUUUUUUUUUUUUAAAAAAAAGGAA
rnacentral:lncRNA from 1 species